UACAGAGGUCCCAAGCGUUGUUCGGAUUCACUGGGCGUAAAGGGUGCGUAGGUGGCGGGUCACGUCGGGUGUGAAAGCCCGGGGCUUAACUCCGGGUCUGCAUUCGAUACGGGUCUGCUGGGGUCCGGCAGGGGAGACUGGAAUUCCUGGUGUAGCGGUGAAAUGCGCAGAUAUCAGGAGGAACACCGGUGGCGAAGGCGGGUCUCUGGGCCGGUACCGACGCUGAGGAGCGAAAGCGUGGGGAGCGAACAGG
rnacentral:rRNA from 1 species